AGGGCGAACGCUGGCGGCGUGCUUAACACAUGCAAGUCGAGCGGAAAGGCCCUUCGGGGUACUCGAGCGGCGAACGGGUGAGUAACACGUGAGUAAUCUGCCCCUAGCUCUGGGAUAGCUCCGGGAAACCGGGAUUAAUACCGGAUACGACCACCUUAGACAUCUUUUGUGGUGGAAAGAAUUUCGGCUAGGGAUGAGCUCGCGGCCUAUCAGCUUGUUGGUGGGGUAACGCCUACCAAGGCGACGACGGUAGCCGGCCUGAGAGGGCGACCGGCCACACUGGGACUGAGACACGGCCCAGACUCCUACGGGAGGCAGCAGUGGGGAAUAUUGCGCAAUGGGCGAAAGCCUGACGCAGCGACGCCGCGUGGGGGAUGAAGGCCUUCGGGUUGUAAACCCCUUUCAGCAGGGACGAAGCGAAAGUGACGGUACCUGCAGAAGAAGCGCCGGCUAACUACGCGCCAGCAGCCGC
rnacentral:rRNA from 1 species